AUUGAACGCUGGCGGCAGGCCUAACACAUGCAAGUCGAGCGGUUGCAGGGAGCUGGCUCCUGGAUUCAGCGGCGGACGGGUGAGGAAUGCCUAGGAAUCGGCCUCUGAGUGGUGGAUAACGUCCGGAAACGGGCGCGAAUACCGCAUACGUCUUGAGGGAGAAAAUGGGGGAUCUUCGGACCUCACGCUAUCGGAUUAGCCUAGGUCGGAUUAGCUAGUUGGUGGGGUAAAGGCCUACCAAGGCGACGAUCCGUAACUGGUCUGAGAGGAUGAUCAGUCACACUGGAACUGAGACACGGUCCAGACUCCUACGGGAGGCAGCAGUGGGGAAUAUUGGACAAUGGGCGAAAGCCUGAUCCAGCCAUGCCGCGUGUGUGAAGAAGGUCUUCGGAUUGUAAAGCACUUUCAGUUGGGAGGAAGGGCAGUAAGUUAAUACCUUGCUGUUUUGACGUUACCAACAGAAUAAGCACCGGCUAACUUCGUG
rnacentral:rRNA from 1 species